rnacentral:rRNA from 1 species
GUGUCAGCAGCCGCGGUAAUACGUAGGUGGCGAGCGUUGUCCGGAAUUACUGGGUGUAAAGGGCGUGUAGGCGGGGGCAUAAGUCAGGUGUGAAAAUCCAAGGCUUAACCUUGGGGCUGCAUCUGAAACUAUGUUUCUUGAGUGCUGGAGAGGAAAGCGGAAUUCCCAGUGUAGCGGUGAAAUGCGUAGAGAUUGGGAGGAACACCAGUGGCGAAGGCGGCUUUCUGGACAGUAACUGACGCUGAGGCGCGAAAGCGUGGGGAGCAAACAGGAUUAGAUACCCUGGUAGUCCACGCUGUAAACGAUGGAUACUAGGUGUAGGAGGUAUCGACCCUUUCUGUGCCGGAGUUAACACAAUAAGUAUCCCACCUGGGGAGUACGGCCGCAAGGUUGAAACUUAAAUAAAUUGGCGG